rnacentral:lncRNA from 1 species
CUAAUUCAGUCGGGACUCAUGAUAGAAGAACUCAAUCAUACAGGUAGCUGCACUGAGAGGUUCGUCUUCAUUUCUGAUGGGUUGCCACCAUAUACUGCUAGGUAUCACUGGUGGAUUUUGGAAGCAAUUAGAAUGAUCUUGAUGAUCGAUCAUUCUAAUUGUCUGAAUCAGAAGAGUUCUGGUCCAUCGAAAGGAGUUUCGAUGAUGUCGAUGAUGAGAUCACGACAUGUCUCAUUACCAUACGGAAAUGAACCUA